rnacentral:rRNA from 1 species
GACGAACGCUGGCGGCGUGCUUAACACAUGCAAGUCGAACGGAAAGGCCCCCACCUUGGUGGGGGUGCUCGAGUGGCGAACGGGUGAGUAACACGUGGGUGAUCUGCCCUGUACUUCGGGAUAAGCUUGGGAAACUGGGUCUAAUACCGGAUAGGACCAUGGUUUAGUGUCUCAUGGUGGAAAAAUUAUUGUUUUGGUGCAGGAUGAGCUCGCGGCCUAUCAGCUUGUUGGUGGGGUAAUGGCCUACCAAGGCGUCGACGGGUAGCCGGCCUGAGAGGGUGGACGGCCACAUUGGGACUGAGAGACGGCCCAGACUCCUACGGGAGGCAGCAGUGGGGAAUAUUGCACAAUGGGCGCAAGCCUGAUGCAGCGACGCCGCGUGGGGGAUGACGGCCUUCGGGUUGUAAACUCCUUUCGUUAGGGACGAAGCCACACCUUUUUUGGGUGUGGUGACGGUACCUUUGUUAAGAAGCACCGGCUAACUACGUG